AUUGAACGCUGGCGGCAGGCCUAACACAUGCAAGUCGAGCGGAGCGGCGGACGGGUGAGUAAUGCCUAGGAAUCUGCCUGGUAGUGGGGGAUAACUUCCGGAAACGGUCGCUAAUACCGCAUACUAUCAGAUGAGCCUAGGUCGGAUUAGCUAGUUGGUGGGGUAAAGGCCUACCAAGGCGACGAUCCGUAACUGGUCUGAGAGGAUGAUCAGUCACACGGGAACUGAGACACGGUCCAGACUCCUACGGGAGGCAGCAGUGGGGAAUAUUGGACAAUGGGCGAAAGCCUGAUCCAGCCAUGCCGCGUGUGUGAAGAAGGCCUUCGGGUUGUAAAGCACUUUUAGCAGGGAGGCGUUACCUACAGAAUAAGCACCGGCUAACUUCGUGCCAGCAGCCGCGGUAAUAC
rnacentral:rRNA from 1 species